UACAGAGAGAGGUGCAAGAGACCCAAUCCUCACUAACACAAUUUAAUUUCUCUUCCCUCAAUAUUUUCAUUUUUGAUAUAUAAUAUAUGCUUGAAUUGGAAUUAAUAAUUGCGCUUUCUCUUCGAUUCCUUAAUAUCGAAGGGUUUCGUGCUGCUGCUUUAUAUACGCAUGCCUUGCGUACUUGAGGCUUCUGGUUGAUGAAUUGGCUCGCAUCGAUUCCAUUUCGAGAUUUGGAUUAAAUUUGAUUCAUGUCGGCAAGAACUUUGAGG
rnacentral:misc_RNA from 1 species